UGAGGCCGAAAGGCGUAGGUGAUAGACAUCUGUUUGAUAUUCCUGUACUUACGAUAACCGUUUGAGAGAUGGGAUGUCACAGUAGGAUAAGCUAAGCACACUGAAGGAUAUGUGUGCCCACGCAUUGGGACAGUCAAAGUAGUUAAUUCCGCUUUGCUUAUGCUGGGAUGUGAUGGGGAGCGAAAUUUAGUAGCGAAGUAGCUGAUUUCACACUGUC
rnacentral:rRNA from 1 species